AGACCGGUGGGGGACAUCCCGGUCUACUCUAGCAAGAUAUACACUGUCAGUGCUGUGGAGGACUUUCUCAUUAAUACUCACCUGGAGUGAGAUGAAGUCUGACAAGAUGGCGGACGAAGUGGUACCUGUACUAUCCAGGUAGGGAACGAAGGGAGUCACAGCAGAGAUAGGCCUAAGGUACCCCUAAACAAGCAGCUGAUCCUCCUCUUCUCAACUCUUCCACAGUGAGACCCAUCUGGAGACUUACCCCAUUACAAAAGUUGCAAAUAUAUCGAACUGCAUGUUAUCGGAGACGCAGACAACUCCAGACUUUCUGGCGCGCACAUGGGAAGACUACAGCCUCCUGGGCUUUCUGAGCAGGUGAUACCACAGGACAUGCUGCUCCACUGGUCUGAGCCUGGGAAGAAGAAACUCAGCUAUGGCACCGCAGUGCUACUCACACAAGUGGACUGCACAAAUGAUGUGUGAAAUGUCUACCCAGCUUGACAGCUUGAGCAUAGGAUGACUGCCCUGUGUUCCUCCCUGUGUGCUGCCCAGAUGUGUGGACACUGUGACCUCCCUAUCUCUGGCACUGAUAACUUUUUCUGACAGAUCUGAUAUUACUUUCCUUCUCAUGUUUAGCACUGCUCCUUCAUACUCAUAUUCUCCACACUCUGACACAGC